rnacentral:rRNA from 1 species
GAUGAACGCUGGCGGCGUGCCUAAUACAUGCAAGUCGAGCGAACAGAUGAGGAGCUUGCUCCUCUGACGUUAGCGGCGGACGGGUGAGUAACACGUGGAUAACCUACCUAUAAGACUGGGAUAACUUCGGGAAACCGGAGCUAAUACCGGAUAAUAUAUUGAACCGCAUGGUUCAAUAGUGAAAGACGGUUUUGCUGUCACUUAUAGAUGGAUCCGCGCCGCAUUAGCUAGUUGGUAAGGUAACGGCUUACCAAGGCAACGAUGCGUAGCCGACCUGAGAGGGUGAUCGGCCACACUGGAACUGAGACACGGUCCAGACUCCUACGGGAGGCGGCAGUAGGGAAUCUUCCGCAAUGGGCGAAAGCCUGACGGAGCAACGCCGCGUGAGUGAUGAAGGUCUUCGGAUCGUAAAACUCUGUUAUUAGGGAAGAAAAAAUGUGUAAGUAACUAUGCACGUCUUGACGGUACCUAAUCAGAAAGCCACGGCUAACUACGUG